CAAUUUUAAUUUUUCAGGAAUCAUUUCUACAGUUGUUUGCUAGGGAAAUUUUGCUGAAUGUGCAGAGCAGCAGAAACCACUAGGAAAACAUUUAACAUCUUUCCCAGGUGUGAUGGUGCCUCUGAGUAUUGUUCUUUGCCAUUGAUGACCAUGCAUACAUUGGGGGCAGAGAGGGAGGGAGUAUGAAAAAGUAGGAUGUAAUCAUAGUGGA